rnacentral:rRNA from 1 species
GACUAAUGUUGAAAAAUUAGCGGAUGACUUGUGGCUGGGGGUGAAAGGCCAAUCAAACCGGGAGAUAGCUGGUUCUCCCCGAAAUCUAUUUAGGUAGAGCCUUGAGCGGACACCUUCGGGGGUAGAGCACUGUUUCGGCUAGGGGUCCAUCCCGGAUUACCAACCCGAUGCAAACUACGAAUACCGAAGAGUGAUACUCAGGAGACACACGGCGGGUGCUAACGUCCGUCGUGGAGAGGGAAACAACCCAGACCGCCAGCUAAGGUCCCAAAGUCUAUAUUAAGUGGGAAACGAAGUGGGAAGGCUUAGACAGCUAGGAUGUUGGCUUAGAAGCAGCCAUCAUUUAAAGAAAGCGUAAUAGCUCACUAGUCGAGUCGGCCUGCGCGGAAGAUGUAACGGGGCUCAAAUAUAGCACCGAAGCUGCGGCAUCAGUAGCAAUACUGUUGGGUAGGGGAGCGUUCUGUAAGCGGAUGAAGGUGAAUCGAGAGGUUUGCUGGACGUAUCAGAAGUGCGAAUGCUGACAUAAGUAACGAUAAAACGGGUGAAAAACCCGUUCGCCGGAAGACCAAGGGUUCCUGUCCAACGUUAAUCGGGGCAGGGUG